AUCUAGCUGGGAAAUGUGGUAGUUUUAAGACAUGUCUGCAAAUUCUUUCAUCUUUUUCUCAUCAAGAUGUGGGUUCUCUAUUCCUCACCUUGAACCUGGGCCCACCUUAAUGAUUGGUUGGUCACCAGCAUAAAGAGGAAGUGAUAUUCUGUGACUUCCAGGCUGGGCCAUAGAAGCCAGGCAGUUUCCUCUUGGUUCCCUGGAUCACUUGCACUGGAGCUGCCACGUAAGAAGUCUGACCAUCCCGAGGCCUCUAUGCUGUGAGGAAGCCCAAAUUAGUCCACAUGGAGAUGCCCUGAGUCUACAAGAAAAGAGAGGACAGACAGAGAUGCUCCUCUAGACACCAUUUCGCUGAAACCACAUGAGGGUUCACCAAGCCAAGACCGCUGAGCUGAGCCUUUCCCAGGUUCCUGACCACAGAAACCAUAAGAGAUAAUAACGUGAUUGAUGGUGGCCAGACACAGUGACUCACACCUGAAAUCCCAGCACUUUGGGAGGCUGAGAUCUAUGCCCCUUGAUAUGACUUUGCAGUUCCUUCUACUAAGAAGAUGAAUCCAUUUCUCCACCCGCUGAGUCUGGGCUGGUCUUGUGAUGUGCGUUAGUCAAUAGAAGUGGCUGAAGUGAUGGCGCGCCAGUUUUUAGCCUACACUUCAAGAAGCCUAUGGACUUCCACUUGCUGUCUUGAAACCCUGUUUGAAAAAGGUUCCCUGAGGACAAGGCCAGACUAGCCUGCUGGAGGGUGAGAGACCACAGGGAGCAGAGACAAGUCAGCUCACAUUAGCAGAACCUCUCAGUCAAUCCACAGACCCGUAAUCUCCUCCCCUGGAGUGUGGACCAGAGUUAGUGACUCACCUCUAACGAAUGAAAUAGCUCAGUCUGAUGGAAGCAGCUGCCCUGUUGUGAGCUCCCCCUAGGGAGAGGCCCACAUGGGAAGAAAUCAAAGUAUGCCUCAAACCAACAGCCAGAGGGAAACUGAGGCUUCAGUCCAACAAGCCAGAAGGAACUGAAUCCCACCAACAACCACUUCAUUGAGCCAAUGAGAAAGCUAAAGCUUGGUGAGAUUACGGAAGCCUACAGUUACACAGCUGACUCCCUCCAGAGGCCCCAUCCACACCCACUGUUGGACUCCUGCUACUCUCGGAGGCUUGGAGUUGGUUUCUCCUCCCCCAAAUCGGUCUCAACACUUACCCUUACUUCCUGCUCUUCGUGGUCUCAGCCUCACUGUUCUUCGUGGACUCAUUUUUUCUCUUCCCUUUGUUUUAUUUUUGUCUCUUUCUUUCUUUUUUGGCUUCAGUGGAGUCCUAGCCUUAAGGUUUUCCUUCUCUAACCCCUUGUUCCCCUUCCAUUCUCUUUCCAGCCCUCUGUAAGCUGCAGCACAGUGUUUACAGUUAAGCCAGCCUCCAUUGAGGCCUUCAGUUGCCGAAGUUCAAAAAAAUCAACCUAGAAUAACAACGUAUUGUUAUAUAAAUGGCAUCUCAGAAAUAAACUAGUCAAAUACGCUUAUCCCCACAGUUCACAUGGGGGAAAAGCUUGCUACCUGAUGUUCUAAUACAUAAUAGUUGUUUUCUCAUUUAUCAACUUUCAUCCCCAGUAUCUGUAAGCUCCAAGAAGGCAAAGACUUUCACU
rnacentral:lncRNA from 1 species